ACGACUGAACGACUUCACUUUCACUGUUCACUUUCAUGCAUUGGAGAAAGAAAUGGCAACCCACUCCAGUGUUCUUGCCUGGAGAAUCCCAGGGAUGGGGAAGCCUGGUGGGCUGCCGUCCAUGGGGUCACACAGAGUCGGACACGACUGAAGCGACUUAGCAGCAGCAGCAGCAGCAGCAGAGUAAACAUGGGGGAGCUUGGACCUCAUUUCAAGUUCAUUUUGCUCACCGAACUGGUGAUGAAAGGUCUUUUCUUUGUUUGUGCCUGUAGUUGUGAAAAUGCACAGCAUCACACUGUUCUCGAGGCCACAAGAUGGAGACAUUUCUCUUUGAGAGCCGGGGAGUCACAACUGCUGAUCCCACAUGCUUCAACUACUGAAGCCAGGGCCCUAGAGCCUGUGCUGCACAACAAGAGAGGGCACUGCAGUGAGAAACGUGAGCACCGAAACUAGAGAAGAGUCCCAGGCAGCAAUGAAGACCCAGCACAGCCAAAAAUAAAAUAAAUAAAUAAUUUUUUUAAAAAAGAAAUUACUUCAUAUUUCUGCUUUAAACCUUUGAUUGUCUCAAAUGAGACAUUUUGCACAGAACUGAUGUUUCAUAACUACAGGACACUCCUGAAACAAAACCUUCAGAGGCAAGGUAUUAUACCACAGAGGAUGUGAAAGGCUGGACACUGCACUCACACCGGGAAAAACAGGAGCUGUGGCUUUAAGGGCAAAGGGUAGAGCGAGGCUUCGCAGGGUGAAGGGAAUCUGAUUGUGGAAAUGGCAGCCUUGGAGGAAUUACAAGAUCAGGGAAUAGGGAAACAUCAUUCAUUUUCCACUUCUGCUCCUAGAAGAAAAAUGAUCAGACACCUGAACAGGGAUUCAGGAAAGGCAGAGAGAGGGAACAACAUUCAGCAGAAAAGAGAAGAAAACAAACAAAAAACACCCCAAACCAUAAUCAGCCUAUGAAUGUAAAAUAAAAGAAGGUGUGAUGUAGACACACAGAAGACAGGGUGUUUGUGUUAGGGGUUUCAGGAAUGGUAGGUUAGGGCAGAUCUGAGGAGAAAAAGAAGCCAUCCAGCCCCGCAGGGAAA
ensembl:lncRNA